rnacentral:rRNA from 1 species
CCUACGGGUGGCAGCAGUGGGGAAUAUUGCACAAUGGGGGAAACCCUGAUGCAGCGACGCCGCGUGAGCGAUGAAGUCUUUCGGUAUGUAAAGCUCUAUCAGCAGGGAAGAAAAUGACGGUACCUGACUAAGAAGCCCCAGCUAACUACGUGCCAGCAGCCGCGGUAAUACGUAGGGGGCAAGCGUUAUCCGGAUGUACUGGGUGCAAAGGGAGCGUAGACGGCGGUGCAAGCCAGAUGUGAAAGCCCGGGGCUCAACCCCGGGACUGCAUUUGAAACUGGACUGCUAGAGUGUCGGAGAGGCAGGCGGAAUUCCUAGUGUAGCGGUGAAAUGCGUAGAUAUUAGGAGGAACACCAGUGGCGAAGGCGGGCGGCUGGAGGAUGACUGACGUUGAGGCUCGAAAGCGUGGGGAGCAAACAGGAUUAGAUACCCUAGUAGUC